GCGACGGGAGAGACGAGGCAGAGGGAGAGAGGAGAGAGAGCCCAGUCCAGCACGACAGAACACAUCGUACGCACACACAUUUUACUCCUUCAGAGAACGAGAGAAGGGGAGUGGAGGGAGGAGGGCUUUCUCCGUUUCGUUACAGCAACAGCGUCGGGGCCUGGCUUGUUCCUGCUACUGCUGCUGCUGAAGAUUGAUUUGCAGGUGAUUUACGAUCCGACACCGUUCACACUCCACACUGUACGUGCACCCCUAGCGUGGAGCUGCUGCUGCUGCUGCGUCCGCCUUUGACACGUGUUCAGGUUCUGUACACGCAGCACGGGAGCGUCCACACCGGGCUGACGGGAUGUGUGAAAACACCAGCGAAGAUCGACUUUUAUGGUCGACAUUGUGGGACGGAUAUGGCAGUGGGAGGCGACUGGUCGAAGCUAGCGCGAGAUGUCUCGCAACGUUCCGUUUAACACAUUUGCGUUUGAUUUGGACCUCGGUUCAGUCCACGACUGCUGAAUUCUUAUCGCGACUCCGAUUAUUGGCACAGGGAAGCCUCGCCGAGUCACUUGGCUCCCUGGUCACGGUGAUCCUGCCACGUUUUCACAGCAAGGAGGUGAGAUGGCGUGACGCUUGACGCCUGCUGCCGCAAUGUGUGUGUGCGUGUGGUUCCCAACCGAGAUGCUUACAAUGUAAUCUCUCGAUCUGGACCGUGAACCCGGCCACACAAUGUCCUCGUAGCCUUGGCGGAUGACGUUAGAAUGAUCUUUAGCAUGCCCCUAACCCCAGCCAAGCCCGCACGAUGCGAAGCUGUGGCUUGCGCGCUAUUUCUAUCGCCGGUUUGCACGCCACGUGAUUAGGACGGGCCGCACCUCUGCAUGCCGCAGUGAGUGUGUGUAGGUCGACUCGGCCUCAAAUGAGUACCUGGUGUAGCGGUGUGUAAAGAUCGCCACUGGGGAGACAAAGGCGGCCGGGCGUGGUGCUGGCCACCCACUCCUUUGUGAGCUGCGCCGGCCUUGACAGGUGCUCUCUAAACAGCCCUUGCCCCAACAGUCUAAGGCUAUAUGGGGGAUCUUUGUCUCAUGCUUUAAUGCGUGCCUCUUCAUUGUUUGGUCGAGGGAAGGUGGCACCGAUGUUUAAAAACGGCGUCUUGUAACGCCCUUGCUUGAUUCAUCGUUGUCACAAAUGCACACACGGGCCUCGAUGUGUGUCUGCUUGUGGAUGAAAGCCCCGGGCUAACGCGAGUGAGUUAGAGCACAGCAAUUAUUAAGAUUAUCAUCGGCGUUUUUUUUAUUGUAAGAACGUUGAACGAGUAAACCAAGUGUUCAUUCGCGUUGUUGUGCAGACGUUGCAAAAUAAAUCAGCGGACA